CUGAGGCUGCAGGGAAGAAAUCUG
rnacentral:piRNA from 1 species